rfam:Thalassiosira oceanica strain CCMP1005 To_g38744, whole genome shotgun sequence.
GUUAAGGAAGAGCAAUUGGUUUGCUCGCUAGGCUCAUGUUCUAGAGGUUGUAAGUUCAAAUCUUACCUUUAACA